rnacentral:rRNA from 1 species
UGGGGAAUUUUACACAAUGGGGGAAACCCUGAUGUAGCAACGCCGCGUGGAGGAUGACGGAUUUAGGUCUGUAAACUCCUUUUAUAAGGGAAGAAAUUUGACGGUACCUUAUGAAUAAGCACCGGCUAACUCCGUGCCAGCAGCCGCGGUAAUACGGGGGGUGCAAGCGUUACUCGGAAUCACUGGGCGUAAAGGGAGCGUAGGCGUUUUAUUAAGCCUUGAGUGAAAGCUCGCAGCUCAACUGCGGAACUGCUCAGGAAACUGAUAGAAGUGAGUAUGGAAGAGGUAGGUGGAAUUUCCGGUGUAGGGGUAAAAUCCGUAGAUAUCGGAAGGAAUACCAGAAGCGAAGGCGACCUACUGGGACAUUACUGACGCUGAGGCUCGAAAGCGUGGGGAGCAAACA